rnacentral:rRNA from 1 species
CCCCUAGCUGUUCUGGGCCGCACGCGCGCUACACUGAACAGUUCAACAAGUCUUAACCUUGGCCGAUAGGUCUGGGUAAUCUUUGAACGCUGUUCGUGAUUGGGAUAGACCUUUGCAAUUAUGGGUCUUCAACGAGGAAUUCCUAGUAAACGCAAGUCAUCAGCUUGCAUUGAUUACGUCCCUGCCCUUUGUACACACCGCCCGUCGCACCUACCGAUUGAAUGGUCCGGUGAAAUCUCGGGACGGCGGCUUGGUCGCUUGCGUCCGACUGCUGAAACUUGAUUAAACCAUAUCAUUUAGAGGAAGGUGAAGUCGUAACA